rnacentral:rRNA from 1 species
GAGACCCACGCCCACAGUUGCCAGCGUACUCUCUGGAGUGACGGGUACACUGUGGGGACCGCCGCUGCUAAAGCGGAGGAAGGAAUGGGCAACGGUAGGUCAGUAUGCCCCGAAUGUCCCGGGCUACACGCGGGCUACAAUGGUUGGUACAAUGGGUAUCUACCCCGAAAGGGGAUGGAAAUCUCCUAAAGCCAAUCUUAGUUCGGAUCGAGGGCUNCAACUCGCCCUCGUGAAGCUGGAAUCCGUAGUAAUCGCGUUUCAAUAGAACGCGGUGAAUACG